UGCAAAGUCUGUGACUAAAGUAAUGAAGGAAGUUGCCUCAGGGGCCCAGAGGGAUGAGGGCUCAAAGUAGUUUUUUGAAUUGUUCGACAAAGCGAAAAGUACAAGGACUCUUGUGUACUUCUGCAUGAAGAACAGUCCACCCAAUGAAGAAGAAUUUCAGGGUACACUGUUGAAUGUAGUUGACCAUUACCAGGGAAAUCAUGUCAGAUGCCAUGCAGAGUCACGGUGCAAGCAGAAUGGCUAUGUGAUGAGCAAAAAUCUUUUAACUAAACCUGAAGUAGUA